rnacentral:tRNA from 1 species
GGCCGCCUGGCGAAAUGGCAUCGCGUCUGACUACGAAUCAGGAGAUUGCGGGUUCGAGCCCUGCGGUGGUCA